CUGUGGUAAUUCUAGAGCUAAUACAUGCUAAAAACCUCGACUUCGGGAGGGUGUAUUUAUUAGAUAAAAAACCCAAUGCCUUCGGGGCUCCUUGGUGAUUCACAAUAACUUCUCAGAUCGCAUGGCCUUGCGCCGGCGACGGUUCAUUCAAAUUUCUGCCCUAUCAACUUUCGAUGGUAAGGUAUUGGCUUACCAUGGUUUCUACGGGUAACGGGGAAUUAGGGUUCGAUUCCGGAGAGUUAGCGUGAGAAACGGCUAACACAUCCAAGGAAGGCAGCAGGCGCGCAAAUUACCCAAUCCUGAUACAGGGAGGUAGUGACAAUAAAUACUGAUACAGGGCUCUUUUGGGUCUUGUAAUUGGAAUGAGUACAAUUUAAACCUCUUAACGAGGAACAAUUGGAGGGCAAGUCUGGUGCCAGCAGCCGCGGUAAUUCCAGCUCCAAUAGCGUAUAUUAAAGUUGUUGCAGUUAAAAAGCUCGUAGUUGAACCUUUGGCCUGGCUGGCAGGUCCGCCUCACCGCGUGCACUUGUCCGGCCGGGCCUUUUCUUCUGGAGAACCGCAUGCCCUUCACUGGGUGUGUUGGGGACCAGGACUUUUACUUUGAAAAAAUUAGAGUGUUCAAAGCAGGCCUUUGCUCGAAUAUUACAGCAUGGAAUAAUGGAAUAGGACGUGCGGUUCUAUUUUGUUGGUUUCUAGGACCGCCGUAAUGAUUAAUAGGGACAGUCGGGGGCAUCAGUAUUCAAUUGUCAGAGGUGAAAUUCUUGGAUUUAUUGAAGACUAACUACUGCGAAAGCAUUUGCCAAGGAUGUUUUCAUUAAUCAGUGAACGAAAGUUAGGGGAUCGAAGACGAUCAGAUACCGUCGUAGUCUUAACCAUAAACUAUGCCGACUAGGGAUCGGGCGGUGUUAUUAUUUUGACUCGCUCGGCACCUUA
rnacentral:rRNA from 1 species